rnacentral:rRNA from 1 species
UACAUGCAGUCGAGCGGACAGAUGGGAGCUUGCUCCCUGAUGUUAGCGGCGGACGGGUGAGUAACACGUGGGUAACCUGCCUGUAAGACUGGGAUAACUCCGGGAAACCGGGGCUAAUACCGGAUGCUUGAUUGAACCGCAUGGUUCAAUUAUAAAAGGUGGCUUUUACCUACCACUUACAAAUGGACCCCCGGCCCAUUACCUAUUUGGGGAGGAACCGGCUCACCAAGGCAACAAUGCUUACCCAACCUGAAAGGGUGAUCGGCCACCCUGGAACUGAAACACGGCCCAAACUCCUACGGAAGGCACCAUUAGGAAAUCUUCCGCAUUGAACAAAAGUCUAACGAACCACCCCCCCGUGGAUUGAUAAAGGUUUUCGAAUCGAAAAACUCUGUUGUUAGGAAAAAACAAUUACCGUUCAAUUAGGGGGGUACCUUGACGGUACUUAACCAAAAAGCAACGGCUAACUACUUGCCACCACCCCCGGAAAUACUUAGGUGGCAAGCGUUGCCCGAAAUUAUUGGCCGAAAAGCCCGCCCAGGCGGUUCCUUAAUUCUAAUGUGAAACCCCCCGGCUCACCCGGGAAGGGCCAUUGGAAACUGGGGAACUUGAGUGCAGAAGAGGAGAGUGGAAUUCCACGUGUAGCGGUGAAAUGCGUAGAGAUGUGGAGGAACACCAGUGGCGAAGGCGACUCUCUGGUCUGUAACUGACGCUGAGGCGCGAAAGCGUGGGGAGCGAACAGGAUUAGAUACCC